rnacentral:rRNA from 1 species
UACCUCCGUCGUCAACUAACCCCACGAGGGAGAAAGUUGGUUUAAUGGCUUAUCACCAAAAAGUCAGGUCAAGGUGCAGCGAAUGAGUUGGGAAGAAAUGGGCUACAUUGUCUACCAGUAGACCACACGAAAAAUCAUUAUGAAAUCUGAUUGGAAGGCGGAUUUAGCAGUAAAAAGAGACUAGAGUGCUCUUUUUAAGUUGGCCCUGGGGCGCGUACAUACUGCCCGUCACCCUCUUCGACUCUGUACUUCAUAUUUACAUAAUACCCCAAAAAGAGAAAAGAAGAGGCAAGUCGUAACAUGGUAAGUCCACCGGAAGGUGGACUUGGAACAAAAUGUAGCUUAAUAACAAAGCCCCUCGCUUACACCGAGUUGAUAUCUAUUUAACCAGAUCAUUUUGACGCCCCUAAUCCAGCCCACAUCCC